UUCAUACACAUUUCAAGCCAUCAAUCUCCCUCUCUCUCUCUCUCUGUGUACUGCUGAUUUGUGUCUCUUAAUUUCAAAUAAUUUCAAGUGUUGAAGUUUCUUAAUUAGUUGAUUAAUGCAAAAUGGGAGCAGUUACUGUGAUCAAGAACUCGCAUUCUCCUUCCUCCAGUUCUUCAAAAUCUUGUCGCAAUAUGAUGGAGAAAGGAUUGGAAUCAAGUUACGUACCAACUAAAGAAAUAAACAACAUGAAAAAUGAAAGAGUUAAUAAGUCUUAAGGCUAAUACUAGUACUAUUAGUACUGCAGCAUUAAAGAAGCAUUGCCUAUGUGCACCCACCACCCACCCUGGUUCAUUCAAGUGUCGUCUUCACCGCGCCGCCACCACUACUACAUCUCACAAAAGAAUCGUUUCAUCAUCAACUCGUCACGUAUAUGGCGUCAAAUAUAGUAAGGACUUGAAUAUCACAAAGUUAGUAGCGCCAUCAAAAGGUGGCGGAGUCAGGAAUUUUAACGAGGCGAAUGUACAUGGCCAACACGGGCUAUCAAGAUUCGGUAGGGCUGCUCUUGCUGCUGCUGCUACAACUUCUAGUGUACAAGUUCAAACAAUUUCAGCAGCAUUGAGACAAAUGAGUCGAGCCAAAAGAAGAAAAUAAUAAAUUCAAAAUUAUGAUUCUGCUUUUAGAAAAAAAAAUACUUGAUUACUAUAGCUUAGUAUUUUUAUGUAAAUGGAGUAAUUUUCCUUUU